AUUUGAAUCUUGCUUACAUUGGAGCUUCCAAGAUGCUCAUGUUCUGCAAGAGAAGCUUGGGUAUAUGGUGUCCCCAGAUCUGCUAGAAAUCCACACACUUGAUGUGCUUGGUUCCGGGCUUCCAUGUCAUCAUUGUGUUGCAGACUGAUUCUUCUCUAAGGUACAAGAAAAACUCUGCAACCAUGUUAACUGGCCCUAGAAGUUUCCACAUUUUACCCUGAACGUCUGCUCUGUUGUCAAUGAGAAUAAGGCUGUGGACCACACUUGCAGCACAGGCGUCUGAGAAUCCUUCCAAGCCAGCCUCACCAUGGUGCAGUGUGAAGUAGUCUGACCCCAGAGUACUCCCCAAAGCCUGAAGGUCUUUAGAUGCCGUUUUUGUCUGAAGUAACUGCCAAAAUUCCAGGGAAUCAUCAUAGUGCCUCUCGCCAUCUAGAUGGAAGUCACUAAAUCCAGCCUAUACUCAAGACAGAUAGAGAAUUAAGCUCCACUUCCUGGACCUGAAUAAUAAUGAUGAUAAUAAUACCCAUCAGUAGU